rnacentral:ncRNA from 1 species
GAUGAGCAUCAAGAGCGUCGUCGGGAUGGUCCCGACACCACCAACCGGUCCUCCAUCCGGUGGUUCCCAUCUUGGGGAUGCGGCCCUUAGGGCAAAGGAGGCCAU